CAACAUGCAGGCAGCAUGGCCCUGAGUCACCACGUGGAGACAAGCCUCAAGAGGACUCCACUUCCCAGUGGACGUUGCACGAGCAAGCAGGAAACCUCUUCUGUGAGCCCCUGAGGUUCAGGGUUUUUUGUUUUUUUUUAGUACCAUGGCUACUGUGACGUAUCCUGACUAAUGCCGACAGCACAGGGAGCCUUUGCCUGCCGGAGGAAGCGGUGAGGAAGAGGUGGUGCGUCGUGCACUUCCUGUUGCUGUUUUAGGACAGCUUGGGCUGAGGAGGGGAUGUUGACCUGCAGAUGACAUCACGGCGGCCACACACGUGCCUGGGGCUGCUGGAGAUGCUGGUUGGGGAGGAGUUUGGCCUUCUGAGGAGGAAGUCCCAGAGCAGACUUUGGCUCAACUCUAAGCUCUGAGAUUUUUAGGAAGCGAAGGGGCAGAAGAAGCGACUCACAAGCUCCUGGAGCCGUGUUGGGAGGGGCCCUCGGGGCCCCUGGAGUGGAGAGACACACCCAGAGGCUUUCCAGCCACCCAGGGAGGAGGCGCGGUGGCUGGGAUUUGGAGACAGCUGUGGAGGUGGGUGCAGGAGGCCGGGUUCUCUGUAUUUCCAGACUAGAGGCAGCGGCAGCUAUUGGUGUGGGGUGGGAGGGGAGAGCAGCUGGGACAUAGAAACAUUCCGAACCUAUGAUAAGCUCCCUGCUUCCAAACCCUUAAAUGUCCUUAAUCUGUAAGAAAGAACACUCCUGACCAAAAUUGGCCAGGAGGCCCUCUCAGGUUUAUUCUCUGAAAUAAACCUGUCCUUGACUGUGGAGCUGCUUUCCCGUUUCUUUCCUCUUUCUUUAACUCUUACAGAGAGCAGCUGGAAUGGCCCCACAGGCUACAGCCCGUGUCGGUGUGGGAUGCGAGGGAGAGGAGCCAGGAUGGCCCCACAUGCUUUCCUUGGCUGCCUGGGCGGGUGCAGCAGCCACCUGAGAGGGCCGUCUGAGGACACGAGGCGGCAUCAGCCUCAUGAGAUCUGGGAUGUGCACGGGACGUCCAUGAAGCCGUCGGAGAUGUGUGUCUGGGCAGGGUGCUGACAGGGAGGGUGGGUUUCUGUGGCAUUUGGGUUUGGGGGAUGAAGCCGUGCAGGGGUGUGAGGCCUGAGGGUUGCAGCAGAUGCCUGUGUCCACAUCUGGACAGCAUUGCUGGCUAACGCCAACCCCACCUGGCUUGGGAACAGGCUUGAAUGUGUGGUCUGUCCUGGGCAAAGAGUAAGUUCCUAGAAAAUCCCAGCAGUCACUGGGAAGUCUGAUGACUUCCUGAGCCGAGCUCUUGGUGUGAUGUGAUCCCAUCGGUGGUGUUACUUCUGGUUUUUGUCUUGUUCACAAUAGGAUUUGGAGUAGUUUACAAAGGUUAACAAAGUUCAGGGAGUCAGGGAAGGGAAAAUUAAGAAAAAGCCCACAGGACAGAGUGGAGCAUGUGGCAAGGUCAGCGGCCGCGUGGACGUCUCCGAUUGUGCUGGCUGUGCUGCUGUGGCCGCGGUGGGGCAGAAGGCCAGACGUCCUCACUUCCCCCAACCCCAGUCCAGUUGUACAUGUUGUGCACUGCACAAGGGCCCUGGCAGAGGACCAAGUUGGAGUUGAAAUCCAGCCAUGGCAUGGCCCUGUGGGCUGCACACAGCAUAUGGAGGCUGCACUGGUCAGCAGCUGCUCAGCCUGAGAGAGAUCCUGGAGCCCCAUGUGGCAUCUCUGGGUCUGAAUUCUCUCUUGACACAAAGAGGACACCUCCUUGGUCGUUGCUAAGGAAUUUGAACAGAGGAGGGCCCUGCAAGUUCCCAGCGCCAUGCACUGUGCAGCCGAGCCCAACACCCGGAAGCUGCUGUCAGCUGGUCCCUCGGACACUACUGUGGGCUGGUUUGACCUCUUGGGCCCUCACUGCUCAGAGCUGCAAGGUGGCUUCAUCACUUUCUUCUGUGCAGUCCCAGCCUUCCAGAUGGUCAGAGACUGCUGGUGCCUCCCUCCACCAUCCCGUUGCUGUCCCCCAGGGCCUCAUCUCUGGGACUUCUCUACCCUACCAUCCCUCACAUUGACACAAAUGUGUACACAGAAGCACACAUGCACACACACAUACAUGCAUGUGCACAGAUGAACACACAGACACACACGCACACACAUGCACAUGCAUGCAAAGACAUGCACACAUGCAUGCACACACACACAUGCACAUGCACAGAUGAACACACAGACACACACACGCACAUGCAUGCACACAGACACACAUGCAUAUACAUGCACAGAGAUGCACACAUAUACACACAGACAUGCACACACACAUGCUACAGCAUGUGCACACAGACACACACACCCUGCACACCCCAAGCCUCGUCUGCUGUCUCUGCUGUGCCUGCUUCCCUUAGCCCCUGAUACCACCUUCCCCAGGUCUCCCAACUGCCCUGCCUGGACACAGAGAGGGGUCCUGUGAAGUCAGGCCUUGAAGGAGUGGGCGUCUCUCAGCCCCUCUGGAAGCCUCGCACCAGGACUGUCCCCUCUCCCGCAGAGCAUUCAGGACCAGCAGCCCUCAGCCCUGCAGUCUCCAGACCUGGUUCUGGGGAGCUUGGG
rnacentral:lncRNA from 1 species